rnacentral:rRNA from 1 species
CCCUGUCAGGGGGACAACCCGCCGAAAGGCGGGCUAAACCCGCGUACAUGCCACCGGGGCAUCCCGGAGGCAGGAAAGGCUUCGGCCGGACAGGGAUGGGCAUGCGGCGCAUUAGGCAGUAGGCGGGGUAACGGCCCACCUAACCGACGAUGCGUAGGGGUUCUGAGAGGAAGGUCCCCCACACUGGUACUGAGACACGGACCAGACUCCUACGGGAGGCAGCAGUGAGGAAUAUUGGUCAAUGGUCGGGAGGCUGAACCAGCCAAGCCGCGUGAGGGAUGAAGGUACAGAGUAUCGUAAACCUCUUUUGUCAGGGAACAAAGGCGGGGACGUGUCCCCGGAUGAGUGUACCUGAAGAAAAAGCAUCGGCUAACUCCGUGCCAGCAGCCGCGGUAAUACGGAGGAUGCGAGCGUUAUCCGGAUUUAUUGGGUUUAAAGGGUGCGCAGGCGGUCUGUUAAGUCAGCGGUCAAAGCCCGGGGCUCAACCCCGGCCCGCCGUUGAAACUGGCAGUCUCGAGUUGGAGAGAAGUAUGCGGAAUGCGCGGUGUAGCGGUGAAAUGCAUAGAUAUCGCGCAGAACUCCGAUUGCGAAGGCAGCAUGCCGGCUCCACACUGACGCUGAGGCACGAAAGCGUGGGUAUCGAACAGGAUUAGAUACCCUGGUAGUCCACGCAGUAAACGAUGUAUACGGGCUGUCCGGG